UAUGGAUCUUCCGCAAUGGACGAAAGUCUGACGGAGCAACGCCGCGUGAGUGAAGAAGGUUUUCGGAUCGUAAAACUCUGUUGUUAAAGAAGAACAAGGAUGAGAGUAACUGCUCAUCCCCUGACGGUAUUUAACCAGAAAGCCACGGCUAACUACGUGCCAGCAGCCGCGGUAAUACGUAGGUGGCAAGCGUUGUCCGGAUUUAUUGGGCGUAAAGCGAGCGCAGGCGGUUCUUUAAGUCUGAUGUGAAAGCCCCCGGCUCAACCGGGGAGGGUCAUUGGAAACUGGAGAACUUGAGUGCAGAAGAGGAGAGUGGAAUUCCACGUGUAGCGGUGAAAUGCGUAGAUAUGUGGAGGAACACCAGUGGCGAAGGCGACUCUCUGGUCUGUAACUGACGCUGAGGCUCGAAAGCGUGGGGAGCAAACAGGAUUAGAUACCCUGGUAGUCCACGCCGUAAACGAUGAGUGCUAAGUGUUGGAGGGUUUCCGCCCUUCAGUGCUGCAGCUAACGCAUUAAGCACUCCGCCUGGGGAGUACGGCCGCAAGGCUGAAACUCAAAGGAAUUGACGGGGGCCCCC
rnacentral:rRNA from 1 species